CCCGGUUUAAGCGUGUAGGUGUGUGUUCCAGGUAAAUCCGGUUCACUUUAACACUGAGGCGUGACGACGAGGCACUACGGUGCUGAAGCAACAAAUGCCCUGCUUCCAGGAAAAGCCUCUAAGCAUCAGGUAACAUCAAAUCGUACCCCAAACCGACACAGGUGGUCAGGUAGAGAAUACCAAGGCGCUUGAGAGAACUCGGGUGAAGGAACUAGGCAAAAUGGUGCCGUAACUUCGGGAGAAGGCACGCUGACACGUAGGUGAAGUGAUUUACUCAUGGAGCUGAAGUCAGUCGAAGAUACCAGCUGGCUGCAACUGUUUAUUAAAAACACAGCACUGUGCAAACACGAAAGUGGACGUAUACGGUGUGACGCCUGCCCGGUGCCGGAAGGUUAAUUGAUGGGGUCAGCGCAAGCGAAGCUCCUGAUCGAAGCCCCGGUAAACGGCGGCCGUAACUAUAACGGUCCUAAGGUAGCGAAAUUCCUUGUCGGGUAAGUUCCGACCUGCACGAAUGGCGUAAUGAUGGCCAGGCUGUCUCCACCCGAGACUCAGUGAAAUUGAACUCGCUGUGAAGAUGCAGUGUACCCGCGGCAAGACGGAAAGACCCCGUGAACCUUUACUAUAGCUUGACACUGAACAUUGAGCCUUGAUGUGUAGGAUAGGUGGGAGGCUUUGAAGUGUGGACGCCAGUCUGCAUGGAGCCGACCUUGAAAUACCACCCUUUAAUGUUUGAUGUUCUAACGUGGACCCGUUACCCGGGUUGCGGACAGUGUCUGGUGGGUAGUUUGACUGGGGCGGUCUCCUCCUAAAGAGUAACGGAGGAGCACGAAGGUUGGCUAAUCCUGGUCGGACAUCAGGAGGUUAGUGCAAUGGCAUAAGCCAGCUUGACUGCGAGCGUGACGGCGCGAGCAGGUGCGAAAGCAGGUCAUAGUGAUCCGGUGGUUCUGAAUGGAAGGGCCAUCGCUCAACGGAUAAAAGGUACUCCGGGGAUAACAGGCUGAUACCGCCCAAGAGUUCAUAUCGACGGCGGUGUUUGGCACCUCGAUGUCGGCUCAUCACAUCCUGGGGCUGAAGUAGGUCCCAAGGGUAUGGCUGUUCGCCAUUUAAAGUGGUACGCGAGCUGGGUUUAGAACGUCGUGAGACAGUUCGGUCCCUAUCUGCCGUGGGCGCUGGAGAACUGAGGGGGGCUGCUCCUAGUACGAGAGGACCGGAGUGGACGCAUCACUGGUGUUCGGGUUGUCAUGCCAAUGGCACUGCCCGGUAGCUAAAUGCGGAAGAGAUAAGUGCUGAAAGCAUCUAAGCACGAAACUUGCCCCGA
rnacentral:rRNA from 1 species